UACAGGGGGGGCAAGCGUUGUUCGGAAUUACUGGGCGUAAAGGGCUCGUAGGCGGCCAACUAAGUCACACGUGAAAUCCCCAGGCUUAACCUGGGAACUGCGUGUGAUACUGGAUGGCUUGAAUUCGGGAGAGGGAUGCAGAAUUCCAGGUGUAGCGGUGAAAUGCGCAGAUAUCAGGAGGAACACCAAUUGCGAAGGCAGCUCGCUGGGACGUUACUGACGCUGAGACGCGAAAGCGUGGGGAGCAAACAGG
rnacentral:rRNA from 1 species